rnacentral:lncRNA from 1 species
CGAAAAACAUGUCGAUAAUUGGCAUGCUGUUUUACAUUCUGAUAAAUCUAUAUCGGGCAGAGGUGGCAAUAAGCUACGAACAUACAGAUUGUUUAAGGAAAAUUUUAACCGGAGGAAAACUGCAAAAUAGCUUUACCCUUCAGUCACAGAAGUGCUUUCGCCAAAUUUAGAUGUGGUGUUGCUCCCCUAAGAAUUGAAACAG